GUUGCUUCGGCAGGACAUAUACUAAAAUUGGAAAGAUACAGGGAAGAUUAGCAUGGCCACUGAGCAAGGAUGACACACAAAUUCAUGAAGAAACAGAAUCUUAG